rnacentral:rRNA from 1 species
UGUCUGGGAAACUGCCUGAUGGAGGGGGAUAACUACUGGAAACGGUAGCUAAUACCGCAUAACGUCGCAAGACCAAAGAGGGGGACCUUCGGGCCUCUUGCCAUCGGAUGUGCCCAGAUGGGAUUAGCUAGUAGGUGGGGUAACGGCUCACCUAGGCGACGAUCCCUAGCUGGUCUGAGAGGAUGACCAGCCACACUGGAACUGAGACACGGUCCAGACUCCUACGGGAGGCAGCAGUGGGGAAUAUUGCACAAUGGGCGCAAGCCUGAUGCAGCCAUGCCGCGUGUAUGAAGAAGGCCUUCGGGUUGUAAAGUACUUUCAGCGGGGAGGAAGGCGAUAAGGUUAAUAACCUUGUCGAUUGACGUUACCCGCAGAAGAAGCACCGGCUAACUCCGUGCCAGCAGCCGCGGUAAUACGGAGGGUGCAAGCGUUAAUCGAAAUUACUGGGCGUAAAGCGCACGCAUGGCGUUCUGUCAA